rnacentral:rRNA from 1 species
AUUGAACGCUGGCGGCAUGCCUUACACAUGCAAGUCGAACGGUAACAGGUCUUCGGAUGCUGACGAGUGGCGAACGGGUGAGUAAUACAUCGGAACGUGCCCGAUCGUGGGGGAUAACGAAGCGAAAGCUUUGCUAAUACCGCAUGAGAUCUACGGAUGAAAGCAGGGGACCGCAAGGCCUUGCGCGAACGGAGCGGCCGAUGGCAGAUUAGGUAGUUGGUGGGAUAAAAGCUUACCAAGCCGACGAUCUGUAGCUGGUCUGAGAGGACGACCAGCCACACUGGGACUGAGACACGGCCCAGACUCCUACGGGAGGCAGCAGUGGGGAAUUUUGGACAAUGGGCGAAAGCCUGAUCCAGCCAUGCCGCGUGCAGGAUGAAGGCCUUCGGGUUGUAAACUGCUUUUGUACGGAACGAAAAGACUCUGGUUAAUACCUGGGGUCCAUGACGGUACCGUAAGAAUAAGCACCGGCUAACUACGUG